AACACACGCUUGUCGCUUGUAUGCCGACGAGGUUGUGUUUCACGGAACUGAAAAUGAAAUUUACACUAGAAAUAGCUGAAGUAUGUAAAAGUUAAGAGUGCUCUAGUCCUGCGGGAAAGCAAAUCAGACAAAUUUUUCUCACCAUGGCUGGAAACACAGAUGACCCAUUUGAGCACUUGCUUAAUAUGUACCGAAAUAUUUCGGAGAUGUGUGUUCUGCACUGCGUUUCGAAGCGAAGGCCAGGGACACCCAGACGUGGAGAGGUGCUGUGUGUUGAAUACUGUAUAGCAGAUGAAAUGCAGCAUUUGAGGAAGUCUACAAUAAACAGAUUACCAAACUACAAGAAAGUCUAAUUAUCUGAAUUGUUUACAUGUGAAUAUGUAAUUCUUAAUAAAGAGUGAUGUUGAAAAUAUAAUAAUAAUAAUAAUAAUAAUAAUAAUAAUAAUAAAAUAUAUGUAUUCAUAAAUAUUAAGAUGUGAACAAUGUUUCAGAGUUUACUACACCAUAUGAGCCAAAACUGUCAUGUCAUUGUUUGCUGCCAGUUGUCAGUUAGUGGAAUUAGAGUAGAAAUCUCUUUAAAUUGAAGGUAAAUGUGAAAAGAUAGAGUUAAGGUUUGUACAUGUUUCAAAACUACAGAAAUAUCAAGCCUCUUAGAAAAUAUAGAAAUUACUGUUAAGGUAUUCAUCCAUUCAUUCAAAGGAGAUCAGCACAAAUUUCUGAAUGAAAUAAGAAUAACUAAAAACUAUAACUUUUGUAGCUUAUUAUUAUUAUCAUUAUUCCUAUUACUUUUAAUAUUUGUAUCUCUGAACAGUAAUUACCUAGAUUUAGUCAUAGGUUUCUGGGAAAAUUUUUGCCACUGUAGCUCAUCUAACAUCUUUAUGUUUAUUUGAACAAGUGAAAUGUUUAAAUGUUUGUAAAAGGAAGUAAUAAAGCAAAACAAGUGGAAAAAGUGAAAACUUUACAGAAAUUUUCAGUUCUUGAAGUAUUUACAUGUCACUGUGUCUUACUAUUGCUGAUACUGGGUUAUUCUAAGUAGGUACUCAUGCAGUUACAUAAUAUAGAAUCAGAAAAUUCAAAAUUGAACUAUUCUUAUUUAAUAUUUUAACUUUUGCUAGUCACUCAGAAAACCUAUUUUCAUUUUAUGCUGUAUCUGUGCCUUUA